GAUGAACGCUGGCGGCGUGCCUAAUACAUGCAAGUCGAACGAAACUUCUUUAUCACCGAGUGCUUGCACUCACCGAUAAAGAGUUGAGUGGCGAACGGGUGAGUAACACGUGGGCAACCUGCCCAAAAGAGGGGGAUAACACUUGGAAACAGGUGCUAAUACCGCAUAACCAUAGUUACCGCAUGGUAACUAUGUAAAAGGUGGCUAUACUACCGCUUUUGGAUGGGCCCGCGGCGCAUUAGCUAGUUGGUAGGGUAAAGGCUUACCAAGGCAAUGAUGCGUAGCUGAAUUGAGAGGUUGAUCGGCCACAUUGGGACUGAGACACGGCCCAAACUCCUACGGGAGGCAGCAGUAGGGAAUCUUCCACAAUGGGCGAAAGCCUGUUGGAGCAACGCCGCGUGGGUGAAGAAGGUCUUCGGAUCGUAAAACCCUGUUGUUAGAGAAGAAAGUGCGUGAGAGUAACUGUUCACGUUUCGACGGUAUCUAACCAGAAAGCCACGGCUAACUACGUG
rnacentral:rRNA from 1 species